UUGAGUAUCUAUUGCAUGAAUCAUUUGUAAACUGCUAUCACAAUAUCCCAAAUCAGCACCACAGUUACUGGAAUGAUCUUCAUUCUCAUCAACAGUGAAACAAUAUUCUACUAUUCUUAGUGAAGGUUUAUUUGCAGAUGGUAUAUAUGGUAUAGCAUGGUAUAGUAUUAUCUAUUGAGAAAAAACAAAACACAAAAAAAACAGCAAAAACAAUACAUUUUCAGAUAGAAAUUAAGUCUAAAAUAAACUGAGGAAUAGGCCAAUAGGAAGUAAAAACCCUUAACCACCAACCACAGAAGAAGAGUUACAUAUCCAGUUAACAGACGAGGGGCCUCAUAGUCAAACACUGGUAUAGGCUGGGUAUACCUGCAACCAUGAGGAUGUCUCUGUAGAGGAUCUACUCAGCUCUCUCACUGUCUUAUCUCUCAGUUAGUUUAUCUAGUCUGUGUCAGGAUGUCACUCAUAUUACUGUUGCUCCUCUCUGCAUUUGUAGGUGAUAGUAUGGAGCAGGAAACAAUAACUCCAGUGAAGCCUGAAGUCAAUGCUCUCCAAGGAACAGACAUCACUCUCUCCUGCAACUACAAGGGCAACGUUAAUAAUCUACAAUGGUACCGUCAAUACCCCGGAUCCAGACCAGAGUGUCUUCUUUGGAUCCUACAAAGCAGCAUGCAUGUACAGAAACAAUCCAUUACGACUCCACGACACACUGGUAGACUGAAUGAAGAGAAGACCCGUGUUGACUUGAUGAUCUCCUCUGUUGAAUUGGAAGACUCUGCUCUGUACCACUGCGCCUUGCAGCCCACAGUGACAGGAAACCCAGACACACUGUACAAAAACCUGUCAAGACCCUUGGGGGUGAACAGUGCAUUGUACUCUGAUCAAUCAGUUAUUAUUUAGUGUACAUUAAUACAUGUAUUAU